rnacentral:misc_RNA from 1 species
CGCACAUUGCGCCCCGUGGUAUUCCGCGGGGCAUGCCUGUUCGAGCGUCAUUUCACCACUCAAGCCUAGCUUGGUAUUGGGCGUCGCGAGUCCGCGCGCCUUAAAGUCUCCGGCUGAGCUAUCCGUCUCCCAGCGUUGUGAAUCUCAUUCGCUACGGAGUUACGAGCAGCCGCGGCCGUUAAACUUAUCUAAAGGUUGACCUCGGAUCAGGUAGGGAUACCCGCUGAACUUAA